UACAGAGGGUGCGAGCGUUAAUCGGAAUUACUGGGCGUAAAGCGUGCGCAGGCGGUUUUGUAAGUCUGUCGUGAAAUCCCCGGGCUUAACCUGGGAAUGGCGAUGGAGACUGCAAGGCUAGAGUUUGGCAGAGGGGGGUAGAAUUCCACGUGUAGCAGUGAAAUGCGUAGAGAUGUGGAGGAACACCGAUGGCGGAGGCAGCCCCCUGGGUCAAGACUGACGCUCAUGCACGAAAGCGUGGGGAGCAAACAGG
rnacentral:rRNA from 1 species